AGAGUUUGAUCCUGGCUCAGGACGAACGCUGGCGGCAUGCCUAACACAUGCAAGUCGAACGGAGAAAGUUCAACACCAAGUAUUUCAUCCGCUGAAGUGUAGCGGUAAAAAUUACGAAGCAAUUUUUACUACGCAUUAAAAGCAUGAACUAACACGGUGGUUGAAGUAUUAGGUGUUGAACUUUCUUAGUGGCGAACGGGUGAGUAACGCGUGGGCAACCUGCCCUCUAGAUGGGGACAACAUCCCGAAAGGGGUGCUAAUACCGAAUGUGACAGCAAUCUCGCAUGAGGAUGCUGUGAAAGAUGGCCUCUAUUUAUAAGCUAUCGCUAGAGGAUGGGCCUGCGUCUGAUUAGCUAGUUGGUGGGGUAACGGCCUACCAAGGCGAUGAUCAGUAGCCGGUCUGAGAGGAUGAACGGCCACAUUGGGACUGAGACACGGCCCAGACUCCUACGGGAGGCAGCAGUGGGGAAUCUUCCGCAAUGGGCGAAAGCCUGACGGAGCAAUGCCGCGUGAGUGAUGAAGGAAUUCGUUCCGUAAAGCUCUUUUGUUUAUGACGAAUGUGCAGAUUGUGAAUAAUGAUCUGUAAUGACGGUAGUAAACGAAUAAGCCACGGCUAACUACGUGCCAGCAGCCGCGGUAAUACGUAGGUGGCGAGCGUUGUCCGGAAUUAUUGGGCGUAAAGAGCAUGUAGGCGGUUUUUUAAGUCUGGAGUGAAAAUGCGGGGCUCAACCCCGUAUGGCUCUGGAUACUGGAAGACUUGAGUGCAGGAGAGGAAAGGGGAAUUCCCAGUGUAGCGGUGAAAUGCGUAGAUAUUGGGAGGAACACCAGUGGCGAAGGCGCCUUUCUGGACUGUGUCUGACGCUGAGAUGCGAAAGCCAGGGUAGCGAACGGGAUUAGAUACCCCGGUAGUCCUGGCCGUAAACGAUGGGUACUAGGUGUAGGAGGUAUCGACCCCUUCUGUGCCGGAGUUAACGCAAUAAGUACCCCGCCUGGGGAGUACGUCCGCAAGGAUGAAACUCAAAGGAAUUGACGGGGGCCCGCACAAGCGGUGGAGUAUGUG
rnacentral:rRNA from 1 species